GAACGGUAAGUUGAAUAGCAAUAUUUGACCUAGAGUGACGUACGGGUGCGUAACACGUAUGCAACCUACCCUUUACAGGAGGAUAGCUCGGGGAAACUCGAAUUAACCCUCCAUGAGAUCAUAGAGUAGCAUUACUUAGUGAUUAAAACUCCGGUGGUAAAGGAUGGGCAUGCGUCUGAUUAGUUAGUUGGCGGGGUAAUGGCCCACCAAGACGAUGAUCAGUAGGGGAACUGAGAGGUUGAUCCCCCACACUGGCACUGAGAUACGGGCCAGACUCCUACGGGAGGCAGCAGUAGGGAAUAUUGGUCAAUGGAUGCAAGUCUGAACCAGCCAUGCCGCGUGCAGGAAGAAGGCCUUCUGGGUUGUAAACUGCUUUUGCCAGGGGAUAAAAUUUCCUUGCGAGGAAAAUUGAAGGUACCUGGUGAAUAAGCCACGGCUAACUACGUGCCAGCAGCCGCGGUAAUACGUAGGUGGCAAGCGUUGUCCGGAUUUAUUGGGUUUAAAGGGUGCGUAGGCGGUUUUGUAAGUCAGUGGUGAAAUAUAGCAGCUUAACUGUUAGGGUGCCAUUGAUACUGCAGAACUUGAGUACAGAUGAGGUAGGCGGAAUUGACGGUGUAGCGGUGAAAUGCUUAGAUAUCGUCAAGAACACCUAUAGCGAAGGCAGCUUACUAGGCUGUAACUGACGCUGAGGCACGAAAGUGUGGGGAUCAAACAGGAUUAGAUACCCUGGUAGUCCACACUGUAAACGUUGAUUACUCGCUGUGUGCGAUAUACAGUACGCGGCCAAGCGAAAGCGAUAAGUAAUCCACCUGGGGAGUACGCCGGGAACGGUG
rnacentral:rRNA from 1 species